rnacentral:rRNA from 1 species
AUGGUUAAGCUACUAAGGGCUGACGGCGGAUGCUUGGCACUAGGAGGCGAUGAAGGACGCGGAAAGCUGCGAUAAGCUUCGGUGAGCUGCUAACAGGCUUUGACCCGGAGAUUUCCGAAUGGGGAAACCCGGCAGAGGUAAUACUUUGUCAUCGUUCAGUGAAUACAUAGCUGAACGAAGCGAACGGGGGGAAGUGAAACAUCUCAGUACCUCCAGGAAUAGAAAUCAAACGAGAUUCCGUGAGUAGCGGCGAGCGAAAGCGGAAGAGCCCAAACCGGUGUAUUUAUAUACCGGGGUUGUAGGACCCAAUAUGGGAUUGGUGAUAAAUAGCGGAAAGGUCUGGAAAGGCCUGCCAGAGACGGUGAUAGUCCGGUACGCGAAAUUUUAAUCCACCCUAGGGAGUUCCUGAGUACCACGAGACACGUGAAACCUUGUGGGAAUCUGGGAGGACCAUCUUCCAAGGCUAAAUACUACCUAGUGACCGAUAGUGAACAAGUACCGUGAGGGAAAGGUGAAAAGAACCCCGGGAGGGGAGUGAAAUAGAAACUGAAACCGUCAGCUUACAAGCAGUUGGAGCAUCGAUUUAUCGGUGUGACAGCGUGCCUUUUGCAUAAUGAGUCAACGACUUACCCUGUGUGGCAAGGUUAAGCCGUGAGGUGUAGCCGCAGCGAAAGCGAGUCUUAAUGAGGCGAUGAGUCAUACGGGGUAGACCCGAAGCCGGGUGAUCUAUCCAUGUCCAGGGUGAAGUUUCGGUAACACGAAAUGGAGGCCCGAACCAUUGUAGGUUGAAAACUGCUUGGAUGAGGUGUGGAUAGGAGUGAAAGGCUAAUCAAACUCGGUGAUAGCUGGUUUUCUCCGAAAUAUAUUUAGGUAUAGCCUUGCGUGAUGACUGUUGGAGGUAGAGCACUGACAGGACUAGGGGUCCCACCGGAUUACCAACUCCUUUCAAACUCCGAAUGCCAACAAGUUCUAGCGUGGGAGUCAGACUGCGGGAGAUAAGUUCCGUAGUCGAGAGGGAAAG